rnacentral:rRNA from 1 species
GACGUAGGGCGCAAGCGUUGUCCGGAUUUAUUGGGCGUAAAGAGCUCGUAGGCGGCUUGUUGCGUCGUCCGUGAAAACCCGCAGCUCAACUGCGGGCUUGCGGACGAUACGGGCAGGCUAGAGUUCGGUAGGGGAGACUGGAAUUCCUGGUGUAGCGGUGAAAUGCGCAGAUAUCAGGAGGAACACCGGUGGCGAAGGCGGCCAACUGGACAGAUACUGACGCUGAGACACGAAAGCGUGGGGAGCAAACAGG